rnacentral:rRNA from 1 species
UUAAAGGGCCGUGGUAUACUGACCAUGCGAAGGUAGCAUAAUCAUUAGCCUUUUGAUUUGGGGCUGGAAUGAAUGGUCUGACGAGAGGCAACCUGUCUCCUUAAUUAACUUGAAUUUAAUCUUUAAGUGAAAAAGCUUAAAUAGCCUUGGAGGACGAUAAGACCCUAUAGAUCUUUACAUCCGGCUUUUUCAUCUAACGGUGGGUAAUCGGGUGGAAUAGGAGGAUGUUUGGUUGGGGCGACGUCGAGAGGGGAAUAAACACUCGAGAAUAUACAUACAUCAAUAAAUGAUCAUUGAUCCUUAGGUGAAAAUAGAGUAAGUUACCUUAGGGAUAACAGCGUAAUUCUUUUUGAGAGCUCAAAUCGACAAAAGAGUUUGCGACCUCGAUGUUGGUUCAGGGACCCUAUUUAGUGCAGCAGCUUAAUCAGGUAGUC